rnacentral:rRNA from 1 species
AUACGGAGGGUGCAAGCGUUGUUCGGAAUUACUGGGCGUAAAGCGCGCGUAGGUGGUCUGUUAUGUCAGAUGUGAAAGUCCACGGGUCAACCGUGGAAGUGCAUUUGAAACUGGCAGACUUGAGUACUGGAGGGGGUAGUGGAAUUCCCGGUGUAGAGGUGAAAUUCGUAGAUAUCGGGAGGAAUACCGGUGGCGAAGGCGACUACCUGGCCAGAUACUGACACUGAGGUGCGAAAGCGUGGGGAGCGAACAGGAUUAGAAACCCCAGUAGUCC